rnacentral:rRNA from 1 species
GACGAACGCUGGCGGCGUGCCUACUACAUGCAAGUAGAACGCAGUUGCGAACGGGUGAGUAACGCGUCGCUAACUGCCUGUUAGCGGGGGAUAACUAUUGGCAACGCUAGCUAAUACCGCCUCCUACCCGAUGGACCUGCGUUGUAUUAGCUAGUUGGUGGGGUAACGGCCCACCAAGGCAACGAUACAUAGCCGACCUGGUAGGGUGAUCGGACAAACUGGGAAGGAGACACGGCCCAGACUCCUACGGGAGGCAGCAGUAGGGAAUCUGCGGGAAUGGACUGAAGGCUGACCGAGCAACGGCGCGUGAGUGAAGAAGGUUGUCGGAUCGUAAAGCUCUGUUGUAAGAGAAGCGGUAUCUUACCAGAAAGGUACGGCUAACUACGUGCCAGCAGCCGCGGUAAUUC